GAAGAAUUAGUUAAAAAAAUAACGUUAGAGUGUCAGUCUAAAAUUAUCUAUUAGAUACUCUUCU
rnacentral:tRNA from 1 species